rnacentral:rRNA from 1 species
UACGGGGGGAGCAAGCGUUGUUCGGAUUUACUGGGCGUAAAGGGCGCGUAGGCGGCCACUGCAAGUCAGUUGUGAAAUCUCUGGGCUUAACCCAGAAAGGUCAACUGAUACUGCGGGGCUAGAGUGCAGAAGGGGCAACUGGAAUUCUCGGUGUAGCGGUGAAAUGCGUAGAUAUCGAGAGGAACACCUGCGGCGAAGGCGGGUUGCUGGGCUGACACUGACGCUGAGGCGCGAAAGCUAGGGGAGCGAACGGG